UUGCUUUGGCAGCACAUAUACUAAAAUUGGAACCAUACAAAGCAGAUUAGCAUGGCUCCUGAGCAGGGAUGACAUCCAAAUCUGUGAAGUGUUCCAUAUAUUU
ensembl:snRNA U6 U6 spliceosomal RNA